GACAGAGGGUGCAAACGUUGUUCGGAAUUACUGGGCGUAAAGCGUGUGUAGGCUGUUUGAAACGUCGGAUGUGAAAGCCCCGGGCUCAACCCGGGAAGUGCACUCGAUACGGUCAGACUGGAGUCUCGGAGAGGUGGGUAGAAUUCCUGGUGUAGAGGUGAAAUUCGUAGAUAUCAGGAGGAAUACCGGCGGCGAAGGCGGCCCACUGGACGAAGACUGACGCUGAGACACGAAAGCGUGGGGAGCAAACAGG
rnacentral:rRNA from 1 species